UCAAAAUCUUCUAUCUGUUCUUAAUGAGUUUUAGAUAAUUUUAGUUGUAUUUCUUUGUAAUUUUGUGUUGUACAAAGAUUAAUUUAACAUUUUCUCUGGAAGUAUUAAUUUAGAAAGAUAAUUAUGCUUCAUUGGUGUUGUGCUUUGAAGUGUGAAAUGCAAAGUAAUUGUGAUAAAGUUCACUUUUAAACUGAACUAAAUAAGGUAUCUUAGAGACAACAAUGGUUAAAUGCAAUACAAUGUACAGGUUUUACUAGCGAAAUGAAAAUUUUCCUGUCCUGUCUGCUGUAAUCAUUUUAUAUCUGGAAAACCAGCCGACUUAAUCGAUAAUAACAAUCUCCAGAUUGGGUUCCUUCAAUAAAUAUGGGCUAUUAACACAAUGAAAUAAGUUCCAGAAAAUCUAAAAUGGAGUGGUAUCAAAGGAGAAUUAAAGGAAAAAAUAUUCAUAUUGAAAUUAUUUAUAAGGCACUGGACUGUCUUAAAUUCUACAAUAAUACUAGAAUCAGCUGAGAGAAGUGGUCUACAAAAAACCAGGAAGGAAACGGAAUAUGUGGCUACGAAAGGCAAAAGAAAGGUUUACAAAGCAAAUGUGACACAUUUUUUUGAAAUAUUUAGGAAUAUCAGUAAAUUGCAUUAAAAAAAUGUAUGAAAAGAUUUUGUUCAAUAAAAAUGUUUAUAUUUAUCAAGGAUGUAUUAUUUGGUAUGGCCACAUAUUGUCAGUGA